GACGAACGCUGGCGGCGUGCCUAAUACAUGCAAGUAGAACGCUGAAGAGAGGAGCUUGCUCUUCUUGGAUGAGUUGCGAACGGGUGAGUAACGCGUAGGUAACCUGCCUGGUAGCGGGGGAUAACUAUUGGAAACGAUAGCUAAUACCGCAUAAAAUUGAUUAUUGCAUGAUAAUUAAUUGAAAGAUGCAAUUGCAUCACUACCAGAUGGACCUGCGUUGUAUUAGCUAGUUGGUGAGGUAACGGCUCACCAAGGCGACGAUACAUAGCCGACCUGAGAGGGUGAUCGGCCACACUGGGACUGAGACACGGCCCAGACUCCUACGGGAGGCAGCAGUAGGGAAUCUUCGGCAAUGGGGGGAACCCUGACCGAGCAACGCCGCGUGAGUGAAGAAGAUUUUCGGAUCGUAAAGCUCUGUUGUAAGAGAAGAACGGGUGUGAGAGUGGAAAGUUCACACUGUGACGGUAUCUUACCAGAAAGGGACGGCUAACUACGUGCCAGCAGCCGCGGUAAUACGUAGGUCCCGAGCGUUGUCCGGAUUUAUUGGGCGUAAAGCGAGCGCAGGCGGUUAGAUAAGUCUGAAGUUAAAGGCUGUGGCUUAACCAUAGUAUGCUUUGGAAACUGUUUAACUUGAGUGCAGAAGGGGAGAGUGGAAUUCCAUGUGUAGCGGUGAAAUGCGUAGAUAUAUGGAGGAACACCGGUGGCGAAAGCGGCUCUCUGGUCUGUAACUGACGCUGAGGCUCGAAAGCGUGGGGAGCAAACGGGAUUAGAUACCCUGGUAGUCCACGCCGUAAACGAUGAGUGCUAGGUGUUAGGCCCUUUCCGGGGCUUAGUGCCGCAGCUAACGCAUUAAGCACUCCGCCUGGGGAGUACGACCGCAAGGUUGAAACUCAAAGGAAUUGACGGGGGCCCGCGCAAGCGGUGGAGCAUGUGGUUUAAUUCGAAGCAACGCGAAGAACCUUACCAGGUCUUGACAUCCCUCUGACCGCUCUAGAGAUAGAGUUUUCCUUCGGGACAGAGGUGACAGGUGGUGCAUGGUUGUCGUCAGCUCGUGUCGUGAGAUGUUGGGUUAAGUCCCGCAACGAGCGCAACCCCUAUUGUUAGUUGCCAUCAUUCAGUUGGGCACUCUAGCGAGACUGCCGGUAAUAAACCGGAGGAAGGUGGGGAUGACGUCAAAUCAUCACGCCCCUUAUGACCUGGGCUACACACGUGCUACAAUGGCUGGUACAACGAGUCGCAAGCCGGUGACGGCAAGCUAAUCUCUGAAAGCCAGUCUCAGUUCGGAUUGUAGGCUGCAACUCGCCUACAUGAAGUCGGAAUCGCUAGUAAUCGCGGAUCAGCACGCCGCGGUGAAUACGUUCCCGGGCCU
rnacentral:rRNA from 1 species